GCGAGUGCGAGUGAGUGCCAGUGAGUGUGAGUGCAGGUGAGUGCAAGUGAGUGCCAGUGAGUGUGAGUGCAGGUGAGUGCGAGUGCGAGUGAGUGCCAGUGAGUGCGAGUGCGAGUGAGUGCCUGUGAGUGUGAGUGGAGAUGAGUGCGA